ACUUUUCAUCACCAUCAUCUUUCCAAAAACGGUUCGGUUUCAUUAUGUUUUCGUAGAUAAUCGCAAAUAAACACACGAUUCAUUAAGUUUCUUUGAGUGAGCCCAUAUAGCUGCCAAAAAUCGAGCUUUUUUCGUAUAUUCAGACAUUUUAAAUGGGUCAAAGCCGUUUGGUGGCAAUUCCACUCCAGCUAUGUCAUAAUUACUAAUAUGCUGACUUGGCGCCCAUUUUUCAAAUAUCACAUCAACGGUUCGUACCAGGUCGACCAGAGUAAGAGUAAACAUUAUCUUUGAUGUCAAAAUUGUUGGACUCAAAACACUUGAACCAAAUUGGUCCGCAAAUUUUGUUCGCGGAUUGUGUCGCUUUUUUGAAUAGAAUUUUUUUUGAAUUUUUUUGAAUUGGUUUCGUUUGCUUUACUCGUUUUAGCGGACAAGAAAAUAAUAGAAAAUUAGCGGAAAAUCGUUUUACUUUACCAGUUUUUUCAUUUAAUCUAUUACAUGAUAUUAAAAUCAGCUAAAUACGAACAAUGCAACCAUAGAUUUAUUAGUGCAACUUUUUAUAUAUAGAGUAGGUAAAAAUAUUUCGCCAACCUGGUAUUGUUUUAAACUUUGUAAUAGAAUACAUAUUGAGCACUCUGGAUCCAAACCAGCCUUUAGGUUAAGGUAGUUUUGAUGUUAAUUUUGAGUUUUUGUUUUAUUAUUAUUAAUAUUUGUUUUUUUGUUUUUUGUUAUUAUUAUUGCUUUUGUUUUAUUCCGAGAUUGUGGUUAUUAUUUUUAUUUAACUUUGGUAUACUAUAUGAAAUGUUAAUGAAUGUAAUAUGGAUGCAAAAUCUGAAGUAAAUGAAAUAAAUAAAUAGCAGCUAUAGAUUAGGUAUAAUGUAGUCUAUCUUUUGUAUAUUUAUUAUUUACAAUCUAAUACAUCCCCACGACUCCCUAGAAAAAUAAAUAAUGAAAACUAAAGAAUAAAAUAGUCGGAACAUUGGAAUUUUUCACCUCAUUUCUCAAUGUAGAUGAUGACAUAAACGUACAAUCUAUUUAUGGUUUGUGCUAAUUACAGUCAACUUUUGAUUGGAUAGUCGUUAAAUUUAAAAGAGACUAUUUGAUUUUUAUAAAUGUACGUAAAAUGAUUUUAACCUACUAGCAUAGGAGAGUGCAGUGCCUGCUUGCCUUCACAGGUUAAUAAAACUGUGUAAAACUGUAAAAAACAUGUUGAGAAACACCUACGCCACAAGGAAAAUCUUAGUCUGAACUUAAGUUUUGAUUUAAAUUGGCCAAGAAGCUUAAGGCCUCGUAUGAAAUGGUUGCAGGCGCACAUACUCGUAGACACGUGUUAGGAGCUUGAAGGAAUCCUCUAAGGCAGCGGUAAACAGUUUCGGAGAUAUGACCUGAUAAUCACCAACAUUAAAUUUGAAGAAUACGAAAAGAAUUAGAAGUAAUUAAACACAACUUUCUGCUGUUUAACUUCCCAAAUUAAAAUUUAACGAGUGUCCCUCUAAAUAUGUCUUAAUUUUAUUAAUAAAACAAAUAAAGUUU